AAGCUAUAGCUCCAGUACUGGAAGAGGUUCUCUGGCUCUUUACAGAGGUUGUGCUUCUCAACAUGCAACUGCAGCAAUGGCUAAGAUGGUUUGGACCUUUAGCUACUGGUAAAACCAGCAACUUAUAAGUAGAACUUACAUCUCUCUCAAUACUGUGGAUCUGCCUAACUGGAAGAUUCUGUCUGGAUAUAAGAGUGACUCUCCAGAGAGCAGCUGUAGCUUGAGAGAAGCCUAUGAUACAGC